GUUGUGCACAGACUGGAGAGAGGAGGCUUAGAGCGUGAUGGGAGGGGAGAAGAAGAAGAGGAGGAAGAUGAGGAGGAAGACGGAUGAGCACUAAAGCAGCAUUGGACUGCAAUCUGUAUCCAUAGAUAGUAUGAGAGUGCUUUGGAUUUCCUCGUAAAGAAGUUUGAAUUUGUCCGUGUGGCGCUCACUUCAGCCAUUGUGGAUAUCACUGCUAACAAUGUAGUUCUUCUAAACAACCAUCUGUUGAAACGACACCAGAUAAUCCUACUUAAAUAAGAAACGUCACGUCCAAUACACUAGCAUCCGAAUUACAAGUCAAGAGAAGAGGACAAAAAAAUGAAAAGAAGGACAGAGCGUAUGAAAGCAGACGGGAGGGAUGAAAAAGAAAUGAGCACAGCGCUCGGGGAAUAGCAGCCGCUUCAGAGGUGAUAAAUGUUGUUUUGACACGUGUGUAUCCACAGGCCCGAAGGUCACAGUUUAACAGAAGGAACGAAGGUCAGUCUAAAGUCUGGGUCAAGUCAAAUAUGAUUCCCUAAGUGACAGCUUUGGAAUUUAAAUGUAUGGUUCGGUGUACGCGAUUAGUCAAGGUUAGACAGUCAGGGCUUUCUGGUUUGACUUCGUGAUGGGUCACGUAUAGCAAAGUGAGCACAGUGGCUGUAAUGUAACGUAACGUGGAAAGAUAUGUGCGUGUAUGAAUAGAAGACAAGCAAGAAGGGGAACCAAGGUAAAAUAAAUAAUGUGGAGAGAAAGAAGGUAGGAAUAAUAUGAAAAGAAAGAGAAAAAAAAAAUACAUUUGUUUUUGUUAAACGUCAGCAUCAGCCUCCUUUACAACUGCGUCAAUGAACUGUUGAAUUGUUGUUUGCAUUUUUGACCAAGACACACACACACACACAUACACACACACACAAUCUGGAACCAAUUACUCCUUACCUGCAGGCUGCAGGCGACCCUCAUCGCACACGCUGUGUUUGGACAUGAGUAAUCAACACUACGCUUUAGGUGGAAUGGGAAGGAGUCUCCACGACGCAGAGCAGUGGCCAAGAAAAGACUCUGCAGUGGUCCGAUGUGAUGCGAGUGACCUGCAGGACACAACCGACAACCACUCAAAGCACGUUAACACAAAUGAGCCCAACGAACUGCAUCAGAAUCACAACAUGUGCUGCGUCCACUCUCCUGAAACGUUACUGUCGGCCCACUGGUUGGAUUUUUUGCCGUCGACGCGACUCAGGUUAGCCGUGUCUGUGUUUUGACUUGGACUUGGAACCUUGCCGUCCCUGGAGGAAGACUCAAGCUCAAUUAUCAUUUUAAAAAUCAGCAACGGGUUAUUACAGUUCAAGAUCACACACAUCAUGUUUGACUGGAGCAGUUGGGGGAGGGGGGGGGGCUGUCGGUGAAACAUUGGUGGUCCCUCUUCUCAAGAUGCAUAGAUGUUGACUGUUGAGUUUUAGAAGUGUCCAUAGUUUUUCGCAGAUUUUUUUAAAUCUGGUUCAUCAUCAAUGGAUCUCUGCCCCUAACUUCUAAGAUUAGCAACUGAUUGAGGGGAAACAAUCUUCCAAUCUGGCUUCUGUCAUUAAAGCAUCACUGAAGCUGCUCAGCGUAAUUUAUGACCAACCUUAUGUGUGCAGAUAAAGGUAAAUACUUAACAUCAAAUUGUCUUGACUCCACUGCCUUUGACACUACUAAUGAUGUCAUUUCAAUUGACAAACUAUUGAACUGGGUUAGUGCAUUCAGAUAGGUUUUCCUAUACAGAUCCCUGAAUGGUCAUAUAAACAAUGUGAGAUCCCUCAACGGACAAUUCUUGGACCUUAAGAUACCUCUGGGCCAUCUGCUUAUCUUCUCCAGUGGUAUCUCUUGCUAUGCUGAUGACACCCAGGUUUUUACUUGUUGGACAAAUCCAACAACCUCAGUAACAUCAGCAACCUUCACGACUUCUGUCUUGAGUUCCUGAGUGUUCUACUAAGGAGACCAGUCCCUGUUUUUGUCCCAUUCCCAGAACAUAGCCACAAACCCCGCUAAGAAGAUACCACGUAUAAUGAAGUCAACUUUGAAAUGACCAUAUUACUCCUAUUUUGGUCAACGCUGGUGAUUUUUUUCUAUGGAGAAUUUUCCAUAUGUUUUCAAUGUAAAACCUUUGGUGCUGCAAUCAGAGGAUGACUAGUCGAAAGCCGAAACUUGUUUUGAUAUCAGAUUCUUGACUUGAGUGCAAAAAGUCACAGCAAAAGGUCCUUCACUGUACAUUAAAGACAAAAUAUAAUACAACAAGAUACUCCAGCCCUCGAGCUGUGCUUAUCCAGCCCGGAUCAGUUUUUCCACUGAACACACCAGGAUGAAAAUAAUAUCAAACCUCCCAACUAACCACUCACAAGACGGCAAACAAGCAGGAACAGAAAUAUAAGAGGUCCAUAAUUUCCACAAUCUAUACAAUUAUACAGUAAAUACGUACAGACCCACUACUACUACCAAAGAACAUUUAUUAAAAAUGGACAGUGGUCAACAGUCCUGCGUAUGAGCGGCAUAAUUAAUCCACUACAGAUCUGUUGUCUUGCUGAUGGCCUCUGGAUAAAACAUGUUGGAAGAUCAAAGUGUCACAUUGUGUUAUUGUGGUUUAAAAUUUCCCCAUAAAAAAUAAAAAUCCAUGACUCAAUGUUCACAUCUGGUUUUAUCUAAAGUUUGUUCACAACAACAUAAUGGAAUCCAAACCUGGUCCAAAGCUGAUGAGCGGUUGCACUGUACAGUUGUGUUGUUUAGGAAAAAUCAUGCUGCAUGUGUCGUCUUUCAGCACUCUUCUCCUCAGUGACAGAGACAUAACUUUACAAUGAGCUCUUUCCGAGGUUUCCUGUCCUUGGCAAGACUGAACGCUACGUCUACACCCCCGAGACAAUCACGUGGGUCAGAUUGUCAGAGGUAAGUCUUGUUUGAGAUAUCUGGAUGAAAGGAAGCCAGUCCGAAUAGUUAAGAAUAUACAGAUAUAAAUAUGACACUUUGACAUUGUGUCCUUAACCCCCCAUUACAAUCUUCC
rnacentral:lncRNA from 1 species